rnacentral:rRNA from 1 species
AUGGGAGUGAGAAUGUUGGCAUGAGUAGCGAGAUGUGGGUGAGAAUCCCACAGGCCGUAAACCCAAGGUUUCCAGGGGAAGGUUCGUCCGCCCUGGGGUAGUCGGGACCUAAGCUGAGGCCGAAAGGCGUAGGGGAUGGACAACAGGUUGAUAUUCCUGUACUACCGAUAACCGUUUGAGAGAAGGGAUGACACAGUAGGAUAAGCUAAGCACACUG